CCGUCAUGCAUUACUGCGGAGGAUCAUUAACGAGUUCUUGACCGAGUUGUAGCUGGCCUCUCGAGGCAUGUGCACGCUCGGCUCAAUCCACUCUACACCUGUGCACUUUCUGUGGGUUUCGGAUUUGUCGAAGCGGGUAACGCCGCCGAGGUUGGUCUGGGCUCGCGUUUAUUACAAACACCGUAUAGUAUCAGAAUGUAAAUUGCGAUGUAACGCAUCUAUAUACAACUUUCAGCAACGGAUCUCUUGGCUCUCGCAUCGAUGAAGAACGCAGCGAAAUGCGAUAAGUAAUGUGAAUUGCAGAAUUCAGUGAAUCAUCGAAUCUUUGAACGCACCUUGCGCUCCUUGGUAUUCCGAGGAGCAUGCCUGUUUGAGUGUCAUGAAAUUCUCAACUUACAUGCCUUUGCGGGUGUUGUAGGCUUGGAUGUUGGAGGCUUGCCGGCAUUGUAAGUCGGCUCCUCUUAAACGCAUUAGCUCGAUUCCUUGCGGAUCGGCUCUCGGUGUGAUAAUUGUCUACGCCGCGACCGGGAAGCGUUAUGGCGGGCUUCUAAUCCGUCUCUUACGAGACAGCUAUAUGACCUCUGACCUCAAAUCAGGUAGGACUACCCGCUGAACUUAAGCAUAUCAAA
rnacentral:rRNA from 1 species